GAUGAACGCUAGCGGGAGGCCUAACACAUGCAAGCCGAGCGGGAUUUGAGACUAGCUUGCUAGUCUUAAUGAGAGCGGCGUACGGGUGCGGAACACGUGUGCAACCUGCCUUUAUCUGGGAGAUAGCCUUUCGAAAGGAAGAUUAAUAUCCCAUAAUAUAAUGAUUGGCAUCAAUUAUUAUUGAAAGCUCCGGCGGAUAGAGAUGGGCACGCGCAAGAUUAGAUAGUUGGUGAGGUAACGGCUCACCAGGUCGAUGAUCUUUAGGGGGCCUGAGAGGGUGAUCCCCCACACUUGUACUGAGACACGGACCAGACUCCUACGGGAGGAAGCAGUGAGGAAUAUUGGACAAUGGGUGAAAGCCUGAUCCAGCCAUCCCGCGUGAAGGAUUAAGGACCUAUGGUUUGUAAACUUCUUUUCUACAGGGAUAAACCUACUCUCGUGAGAGUAGCUGAAGGUACUGUAGGAAUAAGCACCGGCUAACUCCGUGCCAGCAGCCGCAGUAA
rnacentral:rRNA from 1 species